UAGAAUACUAUCGAUAGCAAACGGGCUCCAUUGCCACCCAUUUGUUUUCAUUGAUAGAGCCUUCAAAUCGACGACCGGUAUCGUUGAAUAUGAUCUAUACCAGUUGAAGUGUUUAGAAAUCAAAUUUCAAAUAUUUUCAACAUCAUUUGCCUAAUGAUCAAAGGUUUCAAAUUUUGUAAUUUUAAUGGUCGAUAUGAGGUGUUUUCUCAUUUAACGGCAUAAAGAUAUCCAAACCAAGUGAUUUUUUGUUAGAAAAUUCUUCAAACUAUACAAAAUAAGAUCUAUACUCUUGAUCUUGAUUACAAGAUUCCUAUGAUCAUUUUUUAAAGAAUAUUCAUUUUCAGCUGUUCAUUUUUGUGUCCACUCGAUGGAUAAGAGAACAAUAUCGAAAAUGUAUGAAAUUUGAUUUCUAGACACUUCAAGUGAUAUAGAUCAUGUUCAACGGUGCCGAUCGUCGAUUUGGAGCCUCCAUCAUAGAAAACAAAUGGGUGGCAACGGAGCCCGUUUGCUAUCGAUAGCAUUCCAGCUCAAUUCUCUCUCUCUCUCUCUCUCUCUCUCUCUCUCUCUCUAUAUAUAUAUAUAUAUAUAUAUAUAAUAUAUGAUUGGAGGCUCCAAAUCGACGAUCGACACUGUUGAACAUGAUCUAUAUUACUUGAAGUAUCUAGAAAUCAAAUUUCAAAUCUUUUCGACAUUAUUAACCUAAUGAUCAAAGGGUUUCAAAAUUUGUAAUUUUAAUGGUCGAUAUGACUUUAACGGUGUAAAACUAUCCAAAUCAAUUGAAUUUUUGUUAGAAAAUUCUUUAAACUAUUUAGAACAAGAUCUCUACUCUCGAUCUUGAUUAUAAAAUUUCUAUCAUUACUUUUUAGAGGAUAUUCAUUUUCAGCCGUUCAUUUUACGCCCACUUGAUGAACAAGAGAACAAUAUCGGAAAAGCAUGAAAUUUGAUUUCUAGAUACUUCAAGUGGUAUAGAUCAUUUUCAACGGUACCGAUCGUCGAUUUGGAGGCUCCAUCAUCGAAAACAAAUGGGUGGCAACAGAGCCAGUUUGCUACCGAUAGUAUUCCAACUCAACUCUCUCUCUCUCUCUCUCUCUCUCUCUCUAUAUAUAUAUAUAUAUAUACCUGUAUAUGUAUAUAUAUGUAUAUGUAAAUGUAUAUGUAUAUAUGUGUGUGUGUGUAUGUAUUUAUUUUCCUUGAUCAAAGAAAUGUAGUAGAGUGCUCCUAUUUUACCAGGAGCACACACACACAUGUAUAUGUAUACACACACACACACACACACACACACAUAUAUAUAGGCUAGGGCUACUAUACUCUUAUGAGUAUGGAGCACUUCGUACUCAUAAGUUGUUUUCGAUGAUGAAGCUUCUGAAUCGACGAUCCACUCCGUUAAAUAUGAUCUAGAGUAUUUGAAACUUCUAGAAAAUAAAUUUUGUAAUUUUUCGAAAUCAUAAGAAAGUUCAUCAAGUGGGUAUAAAAUGAAAGGUCAAAAUCGAACGUCUUAAAAAUGGAUGAUCGGAUCCUUAAAUUUAAGAUCAGAGUUAUUGAUCUUUAUCUAUGUAGUCAAUAGAAUUUUCUAUCAAAAAUUCAACUGAUUUCGAUUCUUUUACACCGUUAAACUAGCAAAUAUCCCAUACCGGCCGUUAAAACUUGUCAAUUUUGUGACCUUUUGAUCGUAAGGUAAAUGAUGUCGAAAAAUUAUAAAAUUUGAUUUCUAGACGUUUUAAAUUCUCUAGAUAACGUUUAACGGUGUGGAUCAUCGAUUCGGAAGCUCUAUCAUCGAAAAUAACUUAUGAGUACGAGGACGAUCGAACUCAUAAAAGUAUAGUAGCCGGACUCACACACACACACACACACACACACACACACACACACACACACACACAUAUAUAUAUAUGUGUGUUUAUAUAUAUAUAUAUAUAUAUAUAUGAGUAGGGCUACUAUACUCUUAUGAGUAUAGAGUCCUUCAUACUCAUAAGUUGUUUUCGAUGAUGGAGCUUCCGAAUCGACAAUCCACUCCGUUAAAUAUGAUCUAGAGUAUUUGAAACUUCUAGAAAAUAAAUUUCGUAAUUUUUCGAAAUCAUAAUAAAGUCCAUCAAGUGGGUAUAAAUGAACGGUCGAAAUCGAACGACGUCCUAAAAAUGGAUGAUCGGAUCCUGCAAUUUAAGAUCGGAGUUAUUGAUCUUUAUUUAGGUAGUAAAUAGAAUUUUCUAUCAAAAAUUCAACUUAUUCCGAUUCCUUUACACCGUUAAACUAAUGAGUAUCCCAUACCGGCCGUUAAAAAUUGUCAAUUUUGUGACCUUUUGAUCGUAAAGUAAAUGAUGUCAAAAAAUUAUAAAAUUUGAUUUCUACAAGUUUUAAAUACUUUAGAUAAUGUUUAACGGUAUGGAUCGUCGAUUCAGAAGCUCUAUCAUCGAAAACGACUUAUAAGUACGAGGGCGAUCAUACUCAUAAGAGUAUAGUAGCCGGACUCAUAUAUAUAUAUAUAUAUAUAUAUAUAUAUAUA
rnacentral:lncRNA from 1 species